rnacentral:lncRNA from 1 species
CAAUUGAUUAUUCAGUCUGUGGCCUUCUACUGAAGGAGCAUACAGAAUCUCACCUCCAGGAGCAUGGAGCUCUCUUGGAUAGGAUCCUGCUUUCUGAGGCCAGAGCUUACUCUCCUAUGUGAUCAGAGGCUUUCACAGCAUCCGCAGUGGUCUCCAGAUCAGCCCUAUCAUGGAGGCUUGGUCCAGAGAUCUUCAUAUGAAAAGGGAAAUAAUAAGUGUCUGGGAGACACUUCUGCAGGGAUCCUGCCCUGUCUCAAUAAUCUCCCCCAUGGCCACAGAAAUACCCUGGGAUUUUCCCAGGAGCUAGCCGACACACACAGAUAGAUUAUGAACUUCAGAUAGAAGCCCCAGCCUAGCCCUCACUCUGAUACCUGUCAUCCCCAAACUGCUCUGAAGUGCUUAUGUGCUGGUAUCUCCCAAGAGUCUGCAUGUCAGUGUGUCUGUGCUAGUGUAAUUUAUUUAGAAAAGUGCAAAGGCAAAGGGCAGGAUCAACAGGCAAAGGGCAGGAUCCUGGAGGCUGGAUCUAGGGUCCUCUUACCUGAUUUAUGUCACUGAUUUUCCCAAAUAUUGAUAAAAAUGAAUUGAUCUCUAGGUGGCAGAGAAACAGGAGGAACCCUAGACUACAUAGUAAGUAGAAAAUAAUGCUGCAUGUCAUUUAGAUUGAGCUCAGCCCUGAGUCAUGAAGUCUUCAGAACAAAGGAAUAGUUCUCCCUUAUCUGAUGCUCACUGUGGCCUUGGGCAGCCUGGCAUCGAGAAUUCUCAGCAUGUUCACUCUUGAGUUCUGUGCCUGCAUCACACAGCAAUGGAACAGUCCCAAAAGAUUCUUAAGGGUGGGGAAAGGCACUAAGAAAAGAUGAACCUGCAGUCCCUGUUAUACCAUCUGGUCUAAUUGAUACUACUGUUGUCAAGCAAAAGGAGCUCUCUCCCUGAGGCACUGGAAGCCAAUAUUUUGACACCAGGUUUUUGAGAAAGAAAAGUUUUUUAUUAUUCUGCCUGCCAGACUGAAACACAAAAAUACUCACCUGAUUCCUUCCCACUGCCAGGACAGCCCAGUUUGUGUGACGGUCAUAACAGCACUGUGUGGGAAGGAGGCAGCCAGACCCUGAGAUAAAGGUUUGUGAGUCUGUGACCUCAUCUUCCCUCAGAAGUGCAAUUAUAAUUUUACCUGUAGCAGCAAUGACAGCUGACUUAGGGAGUUGAUAACUUUUUGAAAAACUUUUUGCAGUUGCUAAUUACCAGAGGCAAUUACAACUUUCUCAUAAAUGUCUCCAAAGAGACCACUGAAGUAUCCAAAAGAGGCUCUUACUUUUUCACAAUCCCUGAAGACUGCAAGGAGCAGAAAAUAUUGAGGUUUGAUCUGUGAGGCACUUGUAGAGAAGCAUGUUUGUCUCACUGGAUUUCCUAAUUCUAUGAGAUACUCUUCUUCCUAAAAUCAAGCUCAUCCUUAAUUUGCAGAUCCAUUAUGCCAAGGAAUGUGCAGAUGGAACAUCAUUUCUGAGGGCGUCUGUGAGGAUGAUUCCAGAUGAGAUAAGCAUUCAAAUCGAUGUUCUCAGCUGAGAGGAUUGCCCUCCCUAGUGUCCCUGGGCAUCAUCCAAUCAGUUGAAGGCUUGGAUAGAACAAAAGGUAGAGGAAAGAAGAAUUUACCUCUUUUUCCUCCUGCCUUCCUGCUUGAGCUGGGACAUUGAUCUUUUCCUCCUUUGGUCUAGGACUGGCACCACGGACUUCCUGGUUCUCAGGCCUUUGGGCUCAAACUGGAAUUACAACACUGGCUUUUGUUGGUCUCCACCUUGCAGAUGGCAGAUUGUGAGACUUCUCCAUAAUCUCAUGAGCCAAUUCCUCAUAAUAAUAUUUUUCAUAUAUCUAUGUACACACACACAACUACUGUUUCUGUUUCUCUGGAGAACCCUAUGUGUGCAAUUAUGCACACAUUUUUUGUCUCCUAUGCAUAUUCUUUAUUUUUCUUUAAGAGAUGGGGUCUUACUUUGUC